GAUGAACGCUGGCGGCGUGCUUAACACAUGCAAGUCGAACGAUGAUCCCAGCUUGCUGGGGGAUUAGUGGCGAACGGGUGAGUAACACGUGAGUAACCUGCCCUUAACUCUGGGAUAAGCCUGGGAAACUGGGUCUAAUACCGGAUAUGACUCCUCAUCGCAUGGUGGGUGGUGGAAAGCUUUUUGUGGUUUUGGAUGGA
rnacentral:rRNA from 1 species